GACGAACGCUGGCGGCGUGCUUAACACAUGCAAGUCGAACGGAAAGGCCCUGCUUGCAGGGUACUCGAGUGGCGAACGGGUGAGUAACACGUGGGUGAUCUGCCCUGCACUUCGGGAUAAGCCUGGGAAACUGGGUCUAAUACCGGAUAGGAGCCAUUUUUAGUGUGAUGGUUGGAAAGUUUUUUCGGUGUAGGAUGAGCUGGCGGCCUAUCAGCUUGUUGGUGGGGUAAUGGCCUACCAAGGCGGCGACGGGUAGCCGGCCUGAGAGGGUGGACGGCCACAUUGGGACUGAGAUACGGCCCAGACUACUAAGGGAGGCAGAAGGGGGGAAUAUUGCACAAGGGGCGCAAGCCUGAUGCAGCGACGCCGCGGGGGGGAUGACGGCCUUCGGGUUGGAAACUCCUUUCGCUAGGGACGAAGCUUUUUGUGACGGUACCUAGAUAAGAAGCACCGGCUAACUACGUG
rnacentral:rRNA from 1 species